UCUUGAUCUGGGAGCUGUGCCCUCUACACUCAUCCCCUGCCCUCAGCCAAUGACUUAGUGACAUGGAGCGUGAAGGGCAGGCUCCCUUCUCUCAAGGGAGCUACCAACUCUGGUACAGUUCAUGCUUCAGAGUUUCCCCAUGGGAACAGGCUGAAGCUGAUCUUCCAGGGAGACCACGUUCUUGCUUCACCUUUUUCCUAUGACCUAUGUUGAUUCUCUCAUUCCCUUUCUCCUGGGAAUAUUCAGAAAAAAAACAUCACUUGUAAGAGAAUAUCCAUCUCAAGGUCUGCUUCUAGGGAACCUACCUGAGGCACUAAGAACUUCUCUUUGCCCGGGGCAGGACUUUGCCCCUGCCUGGGUCCACCAAGAACCCUGGGCUUCAACAGUUGAACUGGUGGCUACUUCAAGACUCGACACAGGAGAAGACUUCUUUGCUUCAGUGGUGUCCAAGUUUGGUCUUGAAAUUUUCUCUGGUCAGUAAAAUUGAGCAGAAGUGAUACAAGCCACUUUCAUCCAGAAGCUGUGAGAUCCAUCAUGUGGUUCCAUCAUCACGUUCUUUCCUCUACUGCAACAGCAUCCCCAAGACCAGCAUAUCCCAGAAAAAGUGUAUUCCCUUAGGCUGGCUGCUGUAACAAAAUAGCAUGGAACAGACACACAAAGUACGCAAAUGUGACUGAGAAAUACACUUCUCUGGUCUUCGGCCUCUGAGAUUUGGGAGUCAUUCGUUACUGCAGUAGAACUUCUGCAGAUGUCUGCCACACUCUGUAAUCUCUAAUGCAUCUUAUAUUCCUUCCUACUCAAAGCAGCAUCUCAUAUAAUUCUUUCCCUAUAGUAUACAUUCAAUAGAAACUGGCCAAAUACAAUUUUUCUUUUCCACUGUUGUUUCCCUUCCCUUUUCUUUCUGAACAAUUUAGUUCAAAGCCAUUAGAGAAGCCAAGGAAGAUAGGUGUUUGGGAAAGGGGUGGAAGAGAUGAAGUCUUGCUCUGUUGCCCAAGUCGAUCUUAAAUUCCUAGUCUCAAACAACCCUGCCUCGACCUCCCAAACUAGUGAGAUUACAGGCAUAAACUAUGCACCCAGCCACUUAAUACUUAAUGUUGCUGAAGAAGUAAAUGUCUGUAGUAAUAAUCGUUAAUUAAUUAACAAUUAAGGAUUAUACUCCCCUUUCAUCCACAGCUCAAAAGGGCUUUAUACAGUUUUAUAAAAUUGAUUUUCCAAUAAUAGGAUGCCACAGGGGCAUCUCUUGAUCUAACAAUUCAGCUGCAGCUGAGAGAAAAAAGAAACCACUGUCAUUGGGCUGGAUAUAUGGGUAGAAUAAGAGCCCAUCUGUUUAUUUGAAUUCAAGCUCAUUCAUUCUGAUGUGUCAUUCAGUGAUGUUUAUAUUUUUAUCUCAUGGUUAUUUAACCUGAUUUUUUUCUGAAGGAAAAGCAGCUUUAAGCAUUAUCAAAGUUCAGGGCUCAUUUUGCUACAAUGACUAAUGCAUUUUAUAACUACCUCAUUAGGAAAAAGACCAGUGGGAAUGUUUGUACUAGGUGUUUAUAGAGCAAGAAAUCCAGGCCCAUCUGCUCUUACAGACUUGUGUCAAGAAAUGCUUCUCCCAGCACCAGAUUUUGAGGGAGCUAGAGCCCCAGGGGUGUGAGGACCUCAGUUUAUGUAGAACUAUUCAAGUCACAAGUUACAGACCAGCCUAGUCAACAUGGCAAAACCCCGUCUCUACUAAAAAUACAAAAAUUAGCUGGGUGUGAUGGUGCACACCUGUAGUCCCAGUUACUCAGGAGGCUGAGGCAGGAAGACCGCUUGAACCUAGAAGGAGGAGGUUGCAGUGAAUGGAGAUGACACCACUAUACUCCAGCCUCCAGCAUGAGUGACAGAGUGAGACUCUGUCUCAAAAAAAAAAAAAAAAAAAAAAAAAAAGGAAAGGACCCCCUGCACUCACUAUAGAAGACAAAGAUGAGAGUUCAGAAGUGGCAGAAACACAAACAACUCAUUCUGUUUCAGAAGAUUAUACUAUUUCUUCUGCUAGGAACGUAGUGCUCAUUCUUGGACCUGGCUUCUCGAUGAGGCUGAGAAAUGUCUACUCUCAUGGCUUCCUACUUCUCUGGUGUCCCAGGAAUAUCAGCUGGGAAAAGCUAUGUAUCUCAAGCAGGGAAUCAGGGGGACAAUGAACUGAACCAUCAAUAGCCAUGAUAAUCAGGCAUUAUACACAGUUUUGUAUCAGAUGCUAUCCUGGGUACCGGGGAUACAAAGAUAACAAAACAUGGCCCCUGCUUCUUACUCUAGUGGGACAGACAAAUAAACAAGUCAUGGGGAUACAUGAAGUGGGAGAGCCACAUGCCAAGAGUUGACAAAACACAAAGAAGGGAGCAACUAACACUGUCUGAAGGCCUGGGGCCUGCAUGGAGGAGGUGGUCUUUGAGUUGUACUUUAGAAGAUGGUUAAGAAACUAACAGGAGAGGAACAGGAAACAGAGGGAUCUGGAAACUUGGAGCUUGUUUUUUGCUUAUUUACUUAUAGGUUUUCUAAUUAUUUAAGGAAGAAAGAUUCACUUAAAAAAUAUGGAAAGUAGGGCUGGGCAUUAUGGUUCAUGCCAGUAAUCCCAGCAUUUUGGGAGGCCAAGGCAGGCAGAUCUACUGAAGUCACAAGUUCAAGACCAGCCUAGUCAACAUGGCAAAACCCCGUCUCUACUAAAAAUACAAAAAUUAGCUGGGUGUGAUGGUGCACACCUGUAGUCCCAGUUAGUCAGGAGGCUGAGGCAGGAAGACCGCUUGAACCCAGAAGGAGGAGGUUGCAGUGAAUGGAGAUGACACCACUAUACUCCAGCCUCCAGCAUGAGUGACAGAGUGAGACUCUGUCUCAAACAAAAAAAAAAAAAAAAAAAGGAAAGGACCCCCUGCAAAAGAAAAAGCAAUGACCCCUCCACCCCACAAAAUGACCCAUGUCUCCAAUAUCUAGGGGGCAAUACUGUAGCAAUAAUUAACAUUUUGCCACAAUUCCUUGUUUUUUUUUCACUGUAUUUUAAUAUAGAAUUGUAUUUAUACUAUAUUUAUAUCUUUGUAUUUUAUACUUAAAACAUAUUCUAUCAUUAAAAACAUGGUAAAUCAAUAUUUGAUAGUUUAUUAAUUUCUCAUCAAAACAGAUUUAACAUAUGUAAAUAUUAAUUUAUUUUGGAUUUUUUUUUUUUGCUCAAAGUUUUCAGUUAUAUAAAAGAUGUCUGUGUGUAAAAUUUUGUCAUAUUUUAGAAGUUGAAAUCCUGGGACGUUUAUGAAUAUGAAUAAUGCUCUUGAUAACUGUCGAUAUUGCUUUCUAUAGAGGUUGUACCAAUUUAAAUUAUCUCUAGCAAUGUAUGGCAGUAUCUUUCUUACCAAACUUUUACCAACACUGUAUAGAACUUUUUAAAAUGGAUUUUCAUUUAAGUGUACUAAUCUUAAAUGCACAGCUUACUGGAAUAAUAUCAUUUCAAAAAACAUUUAAUAAUUUAAUAGGUAACAUUUUGCACUUCUUUUAUUACUGGUAAAGACAAGUGUUUUCUCAGGCUUACUAAAUUCUAGAGCUUGCUAUUUUGUGAAUUACCAGUUUAUGCCAUUUAUCUAUUGAGGUCUAAGUGGUUUUUAAAAGUCUAUAUGCUUUAUUCAUACUUGUCAUAUUUACUGCAAAUAUUUUUCCCAGCUUGUUGUUUCUUUGUGAUGUGUUUUGACAAUCAAAUAUUUUACUAUUUUUGUGGUCAAUUUUUUCAACCUUGUCCGCCAUGACUUUUUAAAAGUAGGAUUCAAAAUAUUUUCAGAGUUCUUCAAGAUGUCUUUGACUCAUGGGCUAUUUGGAAGUAUAUUCUUUGAUUUCUAAUUUUCGGGAGAUUUUCCAGGUAUCUUUCUGUUAUUGAUUUCUAGUUAAAUUCUAUUGUGGCUAGAUAAUAUUAUUUGUAUGAUUUUCUAUACUGUUACAUUUGUUAAGGUGUUUAAUGGCCUAGAGAAAUGUGUAUUCUGCUAUUGUUGACUACAGAUCCAAUGAGAUCUGGUUGGUUGGUGCUGUUAUUUACAUUAUCUAUUUCCUUAUUGAUUUACUGCCUGCUUGAUCUAUCCAUUACUGACAGAGGGAUGUUGAACUCUCCAACAUAAUAAUGGAUUUAUUCAUUACUCCCUUCAGUUCCAUCAGGUUUUGAUUAUGUAUAUUUUUUAGGUGCAUACAUGUUUAGGGUUAUCUUUUCUUGGACAAUGAGCCCCUUUAUCAUUAUGCAAUGCUCCAUUUUAUUCCUGAUGAUCUUUCUCUUCAGAAGAUCAUCUUUCUCUUCUGAAAUUAAUGUAGAUAUCUUUUGAUUAAUGUUAGCCUAGAAUAUUUUUCUCUAUCCUUUACUUAUAAGCUGAGUCUUUAUAUAUAAAAUGGGUCUUUGCAGGGAAUAUAUAGGUAGGUAUUAUAUUUAAUCUGUGCUGACAACCUUUCUUUUACCGGUGUAUUUGGACAAUUUACAUUCAGAUCUUUACUGUGAAAACUGGGUAGGGCUCCUUGUAGGGGGUAGAUGGCAACAUAUUCAAGCUUAUGUCCAAGGCAUUUGAAGUUGGGCAUGGAAAAAUACUGAGGCACUGUGUAUGUUAUUUGUGCAUGGGAAUGAAACUCCUUGACCCUGAAAACAGGACAGGGAGUGGAGUGUGGCGUGAGAAGGAACACUGAAAACAGCCUCCUGAUAAUGUAGUUUGAGUGUGUACAAGGUCACAGGUGCCUCAGCAACCCACCUCAAAUGACCAUCUAGUGGAUGUUUGUAGUUAAUACAAGCACUUUCAAUAAAUACUUGGUGGAGAGAUGCUGGGGUGGACUCUCAGAAGAGCUACCCCUAUUCCCGCUCAGCUGGAACUAUCUGAGUACUUCGUUCUUGGCGUUCACUGAAAGCUAUAAGCUCUGCAACUG
rnacentral:lncRNA from 1 species